rnacentral:rRNA from 1 species
UACGUAGGAGGCAAGCGUUGUCCGGAAUUACUGGGCGUAAAGCGCACGUAGGCGGCUUUGCAAGUUAGAGGUGAAAGCCCGGGGCUCAACUCCGGAAUUGCCUUUAAAACUGCAUCGCUAGAAUUGUGGAGAGGUAAGUGGAAUUCCGAGUGUAGAGGUGAAAUUCGUAGAUAUUCGGAAGAACACCAGUGGCGAAGGCGACUUACUGGACACAUAUUGACGCUGAGGUGCGAAAGCGUGGGGAGCAAACAGG